UCCCUGGAGGACUAGUGGUUAGGCCACAGCACUCUGGCCACUGUGGCCUGGGUUAGAUUCCCAGCCAGGGAA
rnacentral:tRNA from 1 species